UCCAAGUUUGGUUGGGCAGGCCGAGUACUUCCAACAGCCCAGAAGUGAUGAUAGCACGGAAUAAACCUCUCUGCACAAAAUUCCCAUUAUUCACUUGCUUGUUUCCGUGAAAGCAAGAAAGUGGCUCCUGACAUCAUUUUGUUCCGUUGAUGUGCAAAACCAUUAAUGGCAUGGAACCCUUACAGGGAAAAUGGGAGAAAUGGACCAGAAGCUGCUGGGAAUACAGAAAGGUGAACUAUGAAGAAACCAUGGAGCCCCUCCUGCUCAUUCUGGUUGCUUAGGAACAUAUUGAUGACAUCAUCCAGCUAGUUCAAGAGUGUUCUUUACUAACAUGGCAGGACAGCUAGUCUUUAUGGAAGAAAUGUCUCCUGGUUCUUCUAUUAAAUGUCUCACCACU